rnacentral:rRNA from 1 species
AGGAGAGUUUGAUCCUGGCUCAGGAUGAACGCUAGCUACAGGCUUAACACAUGCAAGUCGAGGGGCAGCAUGAUCAAAGCUUGCUUUGAUUGAUGGCGACCGGCGCACGGGUGAGUAACGCGUAUCCAACCUUCCCCUUAGUAGGGCAUAGCCCGUAGAAAUGCGGAUUAAUACCCUAUGUUUUCCAAUGAGGACAUCUGAGCUGGAACAAAGGUUUACCGCUAAGGGAUGGGGAUGCGUCUGAUUAGCUUGUUGGCGGGGUAACGGCCCACCAAGGCUACGAUCAGUAGGGGUUCUGAGAGGAAGGUCCCCCACAUUGGAACUGAGACACGGUCCAAACUCCUACGGGAGGCAGCAGUGAGGAAUAUUGGUCAAUGGGCGAGAGCCUGAACCAGCCAAGUAGCGUGCAGGACGACGGCCCUAUGGGUUGUAAACUGCUUUUGUGCGGGAAUAAAGUCAUCCACGUGUGGAUGUUUGCAUGUACCGCAAGAAUAAGGACCGGCUAAUUCCGUGCCAGCAGCCGCGGUAAUACGGAAGGUCCGGGCGUUAUCCGGAUUUAUUGGGUUUAAAGGGAGCGCAGGCCGCCUUUUAAGCGUGACGUGAAAUGUACGGGCUCAACCGGUGCAGUGCGUCGCGAACUGGAGGGCUUGAGUGCGGACGAGGCAUCCGGAAUUCGUGGUGUAGCGGUGAAAUGCUUAGAUAUCACGAAGAACUCCGAUUGCGAAGGCAGGGUGCCAGGCCGUUACUGACGCUAAAGCUCGAAAGUGCGGGUAUCGAACAGGAUUAGAUACCCUGGUAGUCCCCU